rnacentral:rRNA from 1 species
GACGAACGCUGGCGGCGUGCUUAACACAUGCAAGUCGAACGGGAUGAUUUAGAAGCUUGCUUUUAGAGAAUCUAGUGGCAAACGGGUGAGUAACACGUAGACAACCUGCCGACAGGAUGGGGACAACAUUCCGAAAGGAAUGCUAAUACCGAAUGAAGCGGAGGAGAGGCAUCUCUCUUCCGUGAAAGAUGGCCUCUGAACAUGCUAUCACCUGUCGAUGGGUCUGCGUCUGAUUAGCUGGUUGGUGAGGUAACGGCUCACCAAGGCGACGAUCAGUAGCCGGUCUGAGAGGAUGAACGGCCACAUUGGGACUGAGACACGGCCCAGACUCCUACGGGAGGCAGCAGUGGGGAAUCUUCCGCAAUGGGCGCAAGCCUGACGGAGCAACGCCGCGUGAGUGAAGAAGGUCUUCGGAUCGUAAAGCUCUGUUGAUGGGGACGAACGUGCGAAGG